rnacentral:rRNA from 1 species
GCUCCAAUAGCGUAUAUUAAAGUUGUUGCAGUUAAAAAGCUCGUAGUUGGAUUUGUGGUGGCGCCUGAGGUCCAUUUGUUGGUACUAUCGGGCGCUGCCAUCCUUGGGUGGAAUCUGUGUGGCAUUAGGUUGUCGUGCAGGGGAUGCCAUCGUUUACUGUGAAAAAAUCAGCGCGUUCAAAGCAGGCUUAUGCCGUUGAA